rnacentral:rRNA from 1 species
CAGCAGCCGCGGUAAUACGUAGGUGGCAAGCGUUGUCCGGAAUUAUUGGGCGUAAAGGGCUCGCAGGCGGCUUCUUAAGUCUGAUGUGAAAGCCCCCGGCUCAACCGGGGAGGGUCAUUGGAAACUGGGAAACUUGAGUGCAGAAGAGGAGAGUGGAAUUCCACGUGUAGCGGUGAAAUGCGUAGAGAUGCGGAGGAACACCAGUGGCGAAGGCGACUCUCUGGUCUGUAACUGACGCUGAGGAGCGAAAGCGUGGGGAGCGAACAGGAUUAGAUACCCCCGUAGUCCCUGUCUCUUAUAC